GUACUGACUAGCUUGUUCAUUUUUGCCAGCCGGGUCUGUGUCAACUCUCAUGGUCUGAUCAGGAAGUACGGGCUCAUGUGCUGCAGGCAGUGCUUCCGCAGCAAUGCCAAGGACAUUGGCUUCAUCAAGUACCGUUGAAGACUCUUCAUGUUUGUGACUGAGAUCUGUACCUACAUCAGAGGAAUGGAUCCUUCAUUCAAGGCUUAAUUUAUGUGCUUUAGUUUUUUGUUCAGAGUACUAUGCUAGUAAACUUGUUGAAGUUUUGGUGAGACCCAUGUGGUUGUUAAAGUGACUAUGUGAUCAAACUUGAAGUAAUUUCUGUAUUCGAUGACAUAACCCUGAUCCAACUUGG